AGUGAACGCUGGCGGCAGGCCUAAUACAUGCAAGUCGAACGGCAGCACAGCAGAGCUUGCUCUGUGGGUGGCGAGUGGCGGACGGGUGAGGAAUACAUGGGAAUCUGCCCAGUCGUGGGGGAUAACGUAUGGAAACGUACGCUAAUACCGCAUGCGCCCUACGGGGGAAAGCCGGGGACCGCAAGGCCUGGCGCGAUUGGAUGAGCCCAUGUUCGAUUAGCUAGUUGGCGGGGUAAAGGCCCACCAAGGCGACGAUCGAUAGCUGGUCUGAGAGGAUGAUCAGCCACACUGGAACUGAGACACGGUCCAGACUCCUACGGGAGGCAGCAGUAGGGAAUAUUGGACAAUGGGCGCAAGCCUGAUCCAGCCAUGCCGCGUGAGUGAAGAAGGCCCUCGGGUUGUAAAGCUCUUUUGUCCGGAAAGAAAGCAUCUGGUUAAUACCCGGGUGUUCUGACGGUACCGGAAGAAUAAGCACCGGCUAACUUCGUG
rnacentral:rRNA from 1 species